rnacentral:rRNA from 1 species
AUUGAACGCUGGCGGCAGGCCUAACACAUGCAAGUCGAACGGAAGAACGGAGCUUGCUUGUGGUUCCAGAGGGGGACGGGUGAGAGUAGCAUGGGAAUCUGCCUGGCUGUGGGGGAUAAUGUCUGGAAACGGGUGCUAAUACUGCAUAAGACCUGAGGGAGAAAGUGGGGGAGCUUCGGACAUUUGACUAUCAGGUGAGUGUAGGUGGGGUUAGCUAGCUGGUGGGGUAAAGGCCGACUAAGGCGACGAUCCGUAGCUGGUCUGAGAGGAUGAUCAGUCACACUGGAACUGAGACACGGUCCAGACUCCUACGGGAGGCAGCAGUGGGGAAUAUUGGACAAAGGGCGAAAGCCUGAUCCAGCCAUGCCGCGUGUGUGAAGAAGGUCUUCGGAUUGUAAAGCACUUUUAUUUGGGAUGAAGAGCAGUAGGUUAAUACCUUGCUGUUUUGACGGUACCGACAGAAUAAGCACCGGCUAACUUCGUG